rnacentral:rRNA from 1 species
UACGAAGGGGGCUAGCGUUGCUCGGAAUCACUGGGCGUAAAGCGCACGUAGGCGGAUUGCUAAGUCAGGGGUGAAAUCCUGGAGCUCAACUCCAGAACUGCCCUUGAUACUGGCGGUCUCGAGUCCGGAAGAGGUGAGUGGAACUGCGAGUGUAGAGGUGAAAUUCGUAGAUAUUCGCAAGAACACCAGUGGCGAAGGCGGCUCACUGGCCCGGUACUGACGCUGAGGUGCGAAAGCGUGGGGAGCAAACAGG